AGUGAACGCUGGCGGUAGGCCUAACACAUGCAAGUCGAACGGCAGCACAGUAAGAGCUUGCUCUUAAGGGUGGCGAGUGGCGGACGGGUGAGGAGUACAUCGGAAUCUACUUUUUCGUGGGGGAUAACGUAGGGAAACUUACGCUAAUACCGCAUACGACCUACGGGUGAAAGCAGGAGAUCUUCGGACCUUGCGCGAUUGAAUGAGCCGAUGUCGGAUUAGCUAGUUGGCGGGGUAAAGGCCCACCAAGGCAACGAUCCGUAGCUGGUCUGAGAGGAUGAUCAGCCACACUGGAACUGAGACACGGUCCAGACUCCUACGGGAGGCAGCAGUGGGGAAUAUUGCACAAUGGGCGCAAGCCUGAUCCAGCAAUACCGCGUGGGUGAAGAAGGCCUUCGGGUUGUAAAGCCCUUUUGUUGGGAAAGAAAAGCAGCAGGUUAAUCCCCCGCUGUUCUGACGGUACCCAAAGAAUAAGCACCGGCUAACUUCGUG
rnacentral:rRNA from 1 species